UGAUGUGCCCUGGUUGUAUUGACCCAGACACAUUACUUUCUAGCUGAACACCCAGCCCGAUCCACUUCCCGACAGCCAAGCCCCCGGAGGGAAGGCUGUGUGGGACACUGAGAGAAGGCAGCUGUCCAGAAGCCAGGAAGAGAGGUCACCCCAGAAACAAACCCCGCCGACACCUGGACCUCGGACUUCCAGCCUCCAGAACUGUGAGAAAGCUAUCAUCAUAUCUGAGAUUCAAGGAGCCAGCCCAACCAACUAUCAGGAUUAGCUCCUUGCCGGAACAGCCCAGGUAAGUAUCCCAUGUCACAUGUGUUCCCCUCAUUCCUGCUGAGACCUAUUGGUGAGGUCCUACAAUGCUUUGGGAAUACAAACUUUUUUAUUCCAGAACUUCCUCUGUUGGGCUGUGCUAACCUUGAUUAUAAACUUGGAAGUAAAGAGGGGUGGUGAUGGAAGAUCUUGAGGAAAACAAGCAUUGCCUUAUACCUGCCUCUGGUAUGUUUUUCUGUGGUCUUCAUGGAAGGUGUGAUUGUUCUCCUCUAGAAAGGAGAAUGGGGCUGCUUCUGUUUAAGAUUCUCAAACCCUUCCAUCUAAAGAACCCCAGACAGAUCUUAGUGUCCCACUCUCUUCCAUUCAGGGCCUCGGCAUUGACAUACAGGAACUGGUGAGCUAUGUAUUCAGCUCUGCCAUCAUUGCUGUUUGAUCUCUGGCCUGAGUUUUCAGCAUAAUCUGUCUUACUGCUUCAAGAGUUGAGAAUCUACUUCAAAACUGUCGUAAGGUCUCUGGCUCUGAGAGUUUACCUUGAGUUGGCAGUAGGCCACCCUGAGCCUAUCAUUUUCUUUCUUCAAGGUUUCAAAUGCUGUUAAAAGAAGCCAGUUCACUCCACAACCCUUAUAAUUAUCAUUAUCCGGACACUGCGUAUUUCAAUGACUCACCUUCCACAUAAACCUUAUCUAACCACUAACUAACCACAGGUAAAAGCUUUAGUAACUGUAAUGCCACUGCUUCCUAGGAAUCACCAUUACCUCACUCUUGUCUCCAAAUAUUAUAGCCCAUUGUGCUGGGUUGAACAGUGUCCUCCUAAAAUUCAUGUCCACUUCGACCCGUGGAAGGUGAGCUUAGUUGGAAAUAGGGUCUUUGAAGAUGUAAUUAGUUGUUAAGAUGAGGUCAUACUGGGUUAGGGUGGGCCCUAAAUCCAACGCCUGGUGUCCUUACAAGACCAUGUGAAGAGACACUGAGGCACACAGAGAAGAACACCAUGUAAUGACAGAUGCAGAGAUUGGAGUGAUGAAGCUGCAAACCAAGAAAUGCCAAGGAUUGCUGGCAACCACCAGAAGCUAGGAGAGAGGCAUGGGGCAAAUUCUCCUUCAGAGUCUCCAGAAGUAACCAACCCUACAGCCUUGAUUUCAGACUUCUGUCUUCCUGAGCUGUGAGAGAAUAAAUAUCAGUUGUUUUAAACCAUCUAGUUUCUGAUACUUUGUUAUCACAGCCCUGGGAAAUGAAUCCACCCAAGUUCCCCAGAAAACACUAUCUGAGGCAGGGGUCUUACAUGUUAGUCCUAUAUCAGGUAGUACAAUCCCAGUGAGCAGAAGUGAGGGUCAGUGGAGUGAAUCAGGGAAGGGGGGACGUCCAGUGCAAGGAUGUAAUAUAUAGCUGGUUGCCAUUAGCUGUGGGAACGUUGAAAAGAAUACAGAAAUAACAUCUCAGUACUGUCUAUUGAGGAGAGAAAGGGGAAUAAUAUAUGCACAUGGUCACAUUUCCAUUGAUCAAAAGUUGACCUCCUGGGGCAUUAACUCUCCUCCAUGUACAGAUCACACAUGCUUUGACACUGGGUUUUCUCAGUGGGACGUCUGGAGCCAUGGAGGACCUGCAGCUGCUAUCAGACAUCAUCCAAAGAAGAGAGAGGAGGAAAAAUGCACAAGCUCCUCCCUUCCUUAACCUCCAACUUCCAGCUAAUCCCUUUCACUGUCUGAACGCAGCCAGAGCCACUUGACUCAGGGUCCUGGGAAAUGCAGCAGCCUACAAGUGACCUUUGACGUAAAGCAAGGAAGGAUGAGAAAUGAAUCUGACAGUCAGUAGGCCAGGGACAGACACAGGCAUGGUGGCACUGGGAAAGGGCAUAGCAGUGAUUUCCGAGAAUCUGUCCUGGCCACCACCAAGAUAGUCUCAUGUUGCAGCUGAUGUACUGGCCUUGCUCAAUGGGGCCACUGCAUAGUAGAUUGAUCCUUAUGACAGAGGGACCAUUUGGGUCAAUGUUCUUCCCAAAGCUGCCUUAUGUAGGGUACCUAGGAAGGCCCACUUACGAGACCAAAUAGGGGGCUCUGAAAUACCCAGAUUAAACAAUAAUAAGUAGUUACCUUUGCCAGCGGAUAAAUGGAAAAUAAGAACAUAAAGGCUGAUUGUAUAGACUUUAUAAGAUCACUGGCAUUAGUGGAGAUUUGUGGAUUUGUCUAUUGCCACAAGGCCAAAGUAUUAGUCAUGUUGAGCCUCAUUAAGUUUUGUGGGGAGGCUCACAGGCUUGGCAGAUUACACAGGUGAAGAAGCACGGCAAAGUCACUACCCGCAAGAAAUGCCUGGAAGGCUACAGAAACGGGAAUGACACCUGUUCUACAAAGUCCCUACCAGAAAUGAAUACAGCUUGUCAGGAAUUCAGCAAGAUGGAACUUUGGGAUUGGAUGGACCCACCACCCAGUGGUGUGAGCUGACAAAGUUUUCUCCAGCCCCUCUCUUGCCCAUUCCAAUUUUUGGAAGAGUUUCACCACAACAUUACUCCCAAGUGAAAUCAGGUCAGUUAGCGCUUUUGGUCAACAUAGAAGUCACCUUUAAUUUUUCCUAGUCUUUUCCAUUAUAGAACAAAUCCAUACUUCUGCCUUUCCUUCUAUCACCUAUAAUGCAGUCUUUAAGAAGUUAGUCAUAAAGUAACUCUGUAAUCCUUUCAAUCUAGCAGUUACCAAUGUCUUGUGUAAAGGAAAGCCUAAAAGCCAGAGCUUUGUUUAUUCAGUCGAUCACACGAGUUUGUUGAGUGAGCAACAUGAGUUUGCUACAUGCUCAGUGCUGAGGAAAAAGCAAGAAAUGUGACAGAGACUUUCCCUGACACAGAGAAUGGUCUCCUUUUCCAUUGGGAACAUGUAACUUUGGAAAAGUAACUGCAAAUGACUGAACCUGGUCUCGGGGUCAGGAAAGGAUUUUCUGAAGACUAAUGAAGUAUUAGAUUGGCCCACAGUGUUCCCAGCUCAGGGAGCUGCCCUCAGAAGGGCUCCAAGGCAGGGAACAGCGUGGCUUAUCUGAGGAGAUGCAUGUUCAACCCGUCAAGGUGAAGAGCUGAUAGAGAGAAAGGGGCUGAAGAUGAACGACGUAAUGGCUUUUUAGUUUAUUUGUUUCUAUGUUGUGGUUAGGAAGCCCACUAUUUUAAACCAUUAUCUUAUUAAAAGGAAGCAACACUUGAAAGUCUGAAAUUCAAUUAGAUGUACAUUUAUUGAGCAAGACAUAGUUUCUGCCCUCAGGUAACUUAAAAUCUAACAGAAAAGUUAAGCCACAUUUUCUUAUUGUUAUGAUCCAAGUCAGAACGUGCCUUAAGGGAAGGACACAGUGCUAUGUGAACACGGGAGGAUGUGUGGGAUUCGUUCCUGCAU